rnacentral:rRNA from 1 species
AUUAUUAGAAAUAAUAUAUUGUUAGUAUAUAAAACUUACGAAAACAAAAAAUUAUGGCGGUAUCUUAAGCUUUUCAGAGGAAUUUGCUCUUUAAUGGAUAAAACACCCAAAUCUUACUAAAGUUGGUAAAGACAGCUUGUAUACCACUAUUAAAGCAAUUAUUAAUUAUAAUUGCUGUAAAUUUUAUACAAAAAAUAAGUUAAGUCAAGGUGCAGCUUAAACUUUAGGAUGAAGUGAAUUACAAUUCUCUUUAGACAAUUAUUUUGUUUUUAAAAAUAAAAAAAAAUUAGGAUUUGAAAGUAAAAAUUUUAAUAGAAUGAUUAUUUGAAUUAAGCUCUGAGAUAUGUAC